UUCCCUCUGUACGUAUCUCUCCUCUCAUCUGUGCCUGAAUGUGAAGAAUACUAUAGUCUACAUCUUCAUUUAGUUUGCAAAUAAUUUAUUACUAGGCUUCAACGAGAUAAGUGUUUCAUAAGGACAAGUAUCAGUAUCACUCACCCGCUUCGAGACGAGAGAAUGAAUCCCAGCCGGCUCGUAGUCCACCUCAGUGCUGCACCAGACACAGACGGGGAAGGAGGUUGUCAGUGAGAGCUGCGUGCACACCCGUGGAGUAAGUAACCGACACUUCAAAGGACUGUGGUGGUGGUGUGAUGACCGAGGUGUGAAGCGAAGGUUACCCGGAAGCCAAAAUGAACCUCACCAAGCUGACAAUUAACAAGAAACAACCUGUGACGGAAGUAUUAAAUGGGUGCAGUAAGUAGUUCGUGGAAGGCGGCUAGACCGGUUAGUCGUCCUAAGGUAUGAGAAAAAGUUCGUCGUCUCAAGGAAGGCGGCUCCAUCCACGCUUGGGAAUGGAGGAGCACCGACCGCAGGGGGCAAUGUUGGAACAGGUGAUGUCCGUCUUCUUGCUCACCCAAUCUUGAUCUUCAUUUUCUUGCACUUCCUUCAUCUUUUUUAUUGCUGUCCAUCUCAGACCCUUCUCGUCUCCCUGCCGCUGGUCGUCGUCCCUCCUGCCAUUUCUCUUCGUCACGCUGUCUUGCUUUUCCUCCUCACUUGAUCUUUAAAUUUUCUUAUCCUUCCUUCUUCGUCUUCCUUCUUCGUCUGUUUUAUUGAUGUCCAACCCUUCUCGUCUCACUGCCGCUAGUCGUCCCUUCUUCCUCUUCGUCGCGCUGUCUUGGUCAGUGUUCAUGCCGUCCUCUUCACAUCAUUCCUCCGUACCUGAAAAGUAUUAGGUGUUAUUGUUCGUAUUAACACUAUUGAAGAAAGCCGAUGAUUCACCCUUAUGUAUAACUAAUGUAUAAAAAGUAAAAGUA